GGUCAUCUGCGCCCGCUGCAGGUUCCGGAGGUGCUUCACUGUCAUUUCCAGAAUGUCUGCCUUCUCCAGCUUGGAAUGCCGGGAGCUCUACGCAGAGGAAACAAGGGAAGAAAGCUUUGAUGACUGCAAAGAGGAAAAAAAAAAAGGGUCUGAGUUCCCACGGGAUCUGCCAUUUCACCCCGAGGUUUUAAGAGGGAAAAGGAAACGGAGCCCCUCUGCGCGCAACCCACUUAAUUUCUAGGGGCUUCCGAGAGACACAGGCUCUCCCGGUCGGCCGUACGCGGAGGCGGCGGACGGGGAGUCGGCCUGUCCCCUCCUCACCCUGCGGGCGGCCAAGGCGGCCUCUGCGCCCGGCGCGCGAGCCCUUUAAGAGCUCCUCCACCAGCCGAGCUGCAGUUUGACAUCAGCCGGCCGGCGAGGGCGCGCCUGGAGUCGGAGCACGUGCCAGGAUGUUUUAUUGCCGCCGCGGCUGCGGCCGGACCCAGAGGAUGUGUGGUGUGUGUGUGUGCGUGCGUGUGUGCGUGUGUGUGUGUGUGUGCGCGCGCGCGCGCCCCGGGAGCAGGGAGGCGGGGGCCGGCGGCGGGCGGCCGGGAGCGGGGGCCGGCUCUUAGUCCCCGGGAGAAGCCAAGAAGCCUGCCAGAGACUGGGUUGCUGCCUUGCCAAGAGCCAUCCUGGUAGGGUUAUUGAAAGAGCUUUGAGUAAGUACACACGGGGCGGAUCUCUCUCCUCCCCUCGUACCUGCCCUGCACCUGUACAGGGAGCAGCCCCACACAUAUCACCUGAUCACAGCCCUUUCAGACUCCGUGAGAAAAAUGAAGCCCGGGAGAGCAGAGACGUGUUUGCCUUUCCUCCGGGGCGGCAGCCAGCUCCUUGCAGCUGGGAGUGUCCAGAGACACUUUCGACAUUCCAGGCAUCCUGUGCCUGCAUGUCUGUCUGUGUGUGCCUCCUGGCGACACCACACCUGAGCCAGAACGAAGCUGGAGAUCACUUUCCCUGUGGCCACUCUUCUGCUCCGGCUGCAGGCGGUUGGCUGGCUGGAGACUUCAGGAUCCUUUACUGGAAUCAUCAUCAUUGUCUUCUCAGAUGAGAGUCUUGGAACUAACUCAUCACAGAAUUCCCGAGCGAGCAGAACUUCUCAUCACCUGAACAGUCCCUGAAAAGGAGUUAGAAUUUCUUCCUCUAUGUGCCCCUUUAUUUCUAGCAGGUGUCUAAUAAAUAUUUCCCAAAUG